AGAGUUUGAUCCUGGCUCAGGAUGAACGCUGGCGGCGUGCCUAAUACAUGCAAGUCGAGCGGAGGAUUUAGCAAUAGAUCUUCAGCGGCGAACGGGUGAGUAACGCGUUGGUGACCUGCCUCAAAGAUUGGGAUACCAGUUCGAAAGGACUGCUAAUACCGGAUGUGAUCGAAUAGACUAGAGGCUAUUUGAUUAAAGGAGAAAUCCACUUUGAGAGGGGCCUGCGUCCCAUCAGCUAGUUGGUAAGGUAAAGGCUUACCAAGGCGAUGACGGGUAGGGGACCUGAGAGGGUGGCCCCCCACAAUGGAACUGAAACACGGUCCAUACACCUACGGGUGGCAGCAGUAGGGAAUAUUGCAUAAUGGGCGAAAGCCUGAUGCAGCAACGCCGCGUGUGCGAUGAAGGCCUUCGGGUCGUAAAGCACUUUUGAAGGGGAUGAGGAAGGACAGUACCCUUCGAAUAAGCUUCGGCUAACUACGUGCCAGCAGCCGCGGUAAAACGUAGGAAGCGAGCGUUAUCCGGAUUUACUGGGCGUAAAGCGCGUGUAGGCGGUCUCGUAAGUUGGAUGUGAAAGCUCCUGGCCUAACUGGGAGGGGUCGUUCAAUACUGUGAGACUCGAGGAUGGGAGAGGGAAGUGGAAUUCCGGGUGUAGUGGUGAAAUGCGUAGAUAUCCGGAGGAACACCAGUGGCGAAAGCGGCUUCCUGGCCCACACCUGACGCUCAGACGCGAAAGCUAGGGGAGCGAACGGGAUUAGAGACCCCGGUAGUCCUAGCUGUAAACGAUGUGGACUUGGCGUUGGCGGGUUUAAAUCCGUCAGUGCCGAAGCAAACGCGAUAAGUCCACCGCCUGGGGACUACGGCCGCAAGGUUAAAACUCAAAGGAAUUGACGG
rnacentral:rRNA from 1 species